GAGUUUGAUCCUGGCUCAGGAUGAACGCUGGCGGCGUGCCUAAUACAUGCAAGUCGAACGAAUCUUCUUCGGAAGAUGAGUGGCGAACGGGUGAGUAAUACAUAGGUAACCUGCCCCUGUGCGGGGGAUAACAGGAGGAAACUCCUGCUAAUACCGCAUAGCCAUGAGCACCGCAUGGAGCUCAUGCCAAAUAUCCUUCAGGGGAUAGCGCAGGGAUGGACCUAUGGCGCAUUAGCUAGUUGGCGGGGCAACGGCCCACCAAGGCAACGAUGCGUAGCCGGCCUGAGAGGGCGGACGGCCACAUUGGGACUGAGACACGGCCCAGACUCCUACGGGAGGCAGCAGUAGGGAAUUUUCGGCAAUGGGGGAAACCCUGACCGAGCAACGCCGCGUGAGCGAAGAAGGCCUUCGGGUCGUAAAGCUCUGUUGUAAAGGAAGAACGUCGCAUGCAGGAAAUGGUGUGCGAGUGACGGUACUUUACCAGAAAGCCACGGCUAACUACGUGCCAGCAGCCGCGGUAAUACGUAGGUGGCGAGCGUUAUCCGGAAUCAUUGGGCGUAAAGAGGGAGCAGGCGGCCGCAAGGGUCUGUGGUGAAAGACCGAAGCUAAACUUCGGUAAGCCAUGGAAACCGGGCGGCUAGAGUGCGGAAGAGGAUCGUGGAAUUCCAUGUGUAGCGGUGAAAUGCGUAGAUAUAUGGAGGAACACCAGUGGCGAAGGCGACGGUCUGGGCCGCAACUGACGCUCAUUCCCGAAAGCGUGGGGAGCAAAUAGGAUUAGAUACCCUAGUAGUCCACGCCGUAAACGAUGGUCACUAAGUGUCGGGGGUCAAACCCCGGUGCUGCAGUCAACGCAAUAAGUGACCCGCCUGAGUAGUACGUUCGCAAGAAUGAAACUCAAAUGAAUUGACGG
rnacentral:rRNA from 1 species